CAGUAGCCGGGGAAUACGGAGGGUGCAAGCGUUAAUCGGAAUUACUGGGCGUAAAGCGCACGCAGGCGGUCUGACAAGUCAGAUGUGAAAUCCCCGGGCUUAACCUGGGAACUGCAUUUGAAACUGUCAGGCUGGAGUCUUGUAGAGGGGGGUAGAAUUCCAGGUGUAGCGGUGAAAUGCGUAGAGAUCUGGAGGAAUACCGGUGGCGAAGGCGGCCCCCUGGACAAAGACUGACGCUCAGGUGCGAAAGCGUGGGGAGCAAACAGGAUUAGAGACCCCUGUAGUCCCUGUCUCUUAUACC
rnacentral:rRNA from 1 species